CUCCUUUUUGAAAAAAUUUAUUACUUUAAAAAAAAGGGGGAGGGAUGAGCUAUAAAACGUAUUCGCCAUUUUCACCACGCUUAAAAAAAAUCGGGCAUUCAAGCUCUUGGCGAUAGAAUUAGUUUGGCAAUCACCCAUUUCAGCUGAUCGCCAAAGUUUAGGGUUAUAAAACGGCGGGCAUUCAAGCUCAAAAAUUGCGCAAUCUUCCGAGUUUAAUCGGUAGUGGAAUUUUACGAACGAUUCCGAACAGACAGCUGUCUGUCAUUUCUAAACAUGCUUGUAUUCCAUGGAUUCUAAAUCGGAUGAACUUCUUUCAUAGUUUUAGAAAUUAAUAUUCUUUAUUUGUUUUACGACAGAUUUUAUGCAGUUAUUCACGUAUUUUAUGGUGUAAUUAAAAGGUCCAUCAAUAGAUGCAAUGAGAAUUGUGUAUUAUAGUAUACUCUCAAUACAUCGAAAACCUUAUGUCAAAAAAAUAUUUUUCUCCUUGAUAUGCAUCCACCUAAUGCUAAUUUGAAUUCCUAUGUUGAAGGGUUUCUUCUCAAAACCUCAUUAUGUCAAAUUUUUUUAAAAAUAAAAAAUCAUUUUCAUUUAA